AACGAACGCUGGCGGCAUGCCUAACACAUGCAAGUCGAACGAGACCUUCCGGUUUAGUUGCGCACGUGUGCUUAACGCGUGGGAACCUGCCCUUAGGUUCGGAAUAACUCCCCGAGAGGUGUCCUAAUACCGGAUAAUCUCUUCGCACCUAAGAUUUCUCGCCUUGGGAUGGGCCCGCGUUGGAUUGGCUAGUUGGUAGGGUAAACGCCUACCAAGGACUCGAUCCAUAGCUGGUCUGGGAGGAGGAUCAACCACGCUGGGACUGAGACACGGCCAAGACUGGGAGGAGAGGGAGGAGUGGGGAAAAUAGGAGAAGGGGCGAAAGCCAGAGAAAGCAACGCAGGGUGAGAGAGGAAGGAGUUAGGGAUGUAAAGAUGUUUUACACGGGAUGAGAAUGACAGUACCGGGAGAAUAAGCUCCGGCUAACUCCGUG
rnacentral:rRNA from 1 species